UCACACCUUUAUUGUAAAUACAUUACUAUAUAUUGAACAAGUUAUAAGCUAGUAUAUACAUACAAACACCUGCACAUACCUUCGGAGCCCGUGACUCAAUCUUAUGUUGUAAAAUUUAAAUACAUAUUAAUAUAUAAGAUGCCGAUGUUGUAUACAUGUAUAUGUAUAUGGAUGUAUAUUAGCUAUAAUUGUUCAAUAAGCACAACUUUUUUUCAUUUUGUUUCUUUGACAAUUGAGAUGGUUUCCCCUGCCCAAUUUUGUUGGCACGAUUUUAGCCGCCAUAAUCCCUCCCAUAGUCCAACCAAAAAUCAAAAUUCAGCCCAUCUUACUAGGGUUUGCAAUCCGCCCUGGUCACACUCCGCCAACUUCCCCUUUCUCUUCCGGCUUUUCAAUUACCGUCCCAUUGCAGCGGUGCAACCCACGAUCACACCGGAACUGAUUCGCCAUCAACUAUCAGUCGAAUGUUAGCAAAAUCGUAGAUGGUCACCUCACGGUCUAUUGCAGUGAGGGUGAAGCAGACGUAGCGAGGCGAAGGAAGGAGUUGUCGGAAUUCUCGUGAAGCAAAGUGAAGGCCGCGUUCGGGGUGAUCGAGAAAACGUAUUUGAAAUACCGAUUCUUAGUUUUGUGUGUGUUGUCUUCGAAUGAACUUCAGGAGCAUCGCGGCAAUUUCUGAACUCUCAAUUCCAUUUAACUCUCAAUGAAAAACCAACGGCAGCCAUGCCAACGGAGGUGCACCCUAUUGUCGUCGGUGAUGGUGGUUUGUGAUUCCUUCUCACGGAAGACUUCGGGGUGUGUUUGUGUGUUAUUUUCUCGGAGUAUUUUCUGUUAAUGCAUCCUUGAAAUCUCUCCAUUUUUGUUUGAUCAAUUUGUAUGUAAUGCUUGGUGGAAAUUAAGCCUAUCGUUGGUGUAAA